GAUGAACGCUGGCGGCGUGCCUAAUACAUGCAAGUCGAGCGAACGGACGAGAAGCUUGCUUCUCUGAUGUUAGCGGCGGACGGGUGAGUAACACGUGGAUAACCUACCUAUAAGACUGGGAUAACUUCGGGAAACCGGAGCUAAUACCGGAUGAUAUUUUGAACCGCAUGGUUCAAAAGUGAAAGACGGUCUUGCUGUCACUUAUAGAUGGAUCCGCGCUGCAUUAGCUAGUUGGUAAGGUAACGGCUUACCAAGGCAACGAUGCAUAGCCGACCUGAGAGGGUGAUCGGCCACACUGGAACUGAGACACGGUCCAGACUCCUACGGGAGGCAGCAGUAGGGAAUCUUCCGCAAAGGGCGAAAGCCUGACGGAGCAACGCCGCGUGAGUGAUGAAGGUCUUCGGGUCGUAAAACUCUGUUAUUAGGGAAGAACAUAUGUGUAAGUAACUGUGCACAUCUUGACGGUACCUAAUCAGAAAGCCACGGCUAACUACGUG
rnacentral:rRNA from 1 species